CGUAAAGGGAGCGCGGGCGGUUGAAAUAGUCUGAUGUGAAAGCCCACGGCUUAACCGUGGAAGGUCAUUGGAAACUGUUCAACUUGAAUACAGAAGAGGUAAGUGGAAUUCCAAGUGUAGCGGUGAAAUGCGUAGAUAUUUGGAGGAACACCAGUGGCGAAGGCGACUUACUGGUCUGUAAUUGACGCUGAGGCUCGAAAGCGUGGGUAGCAAACAGGAUUAGAUACCCUGGUAGUCCACGCCGUAAACGAUGAGUGCUAAGUGUUAGGGGGUUUCCGCCCCUUAGUGCUGGAGUUAACGCAUUAAGCACUCCGCCUGGGGAGUACGGCCGCAAGGCUGAAACUCAAAGGAAUUGACGGGGACCCGCACAAGCGGUGGAGCAUGUGGUUUAAUUCGACGCAACGCGAAGAACCUUACCAACUCUUGACAUCUUCUGAUCACCCUAGAGAUAGGGCUUUCCCUUCGGGGACAGAAUGACAGGUGGUGCAUGGUUGUCGUCAGCUCGUGUCGUGAGAUGUUGGGUUAAGUCCCAUAACGAGCGCAACCCUUAUUGUUAGUUGCCAGCAUUCAGUUGGGCACUCUAGCGAGACUGCCGGUGAUAAACCGGAGGAAGGUGGGGAUGACGUCAAAUCAUCAUGCCCCUUAUGAGUUGGGCUACACACGUGCUACAAUGGACGGUACAACGAGUAGCGAUCCCGCAAGGGUUAGCGAAUCUUAAUAAGCCGUUCUCAGUUCGGAUUGUUCUCUGCAACUCGAGAGCAUGAAGCCGGAAUCGCUAGUAAUCGCGGAUCAG
rnacentral:rRNA from 1 species